UAGGGAAUCUUCCGCAAUGGGCGAAAGCCUGACGGAGCAACGCCGCGUGAGUGAUGAAGGUCUUCGGAUCGUAAAACUCUGUUAUUAGGGAAGAACAAAUGUGUAAGUAACUAUGCACGUCUUGACGGUACCUAAUCAGAAAGCCACGGCUAACUACGUGCCAGCAGCCGCGGUAAUACGUAGGUGGCAAGCGUUAUCCGGAAUUAUUGGGCGUAAAGCGCGCGUAGGCGGUUUUUUAAGUCUGAUGUGCAAGCCCACGGCUCAACCGUGGAGGGUCAUUGGAAACUGGAAAACUUGAGUGCAGAAGAGGAAAGUGGAAUUCCAUGUGUAGCGGUGAAAUGCGCAGAGAUAUGGGGGAACACCAGUGGCGAAGGCGACUUUCUGGUCUGUAACUGACGCUGAUGUGCGAAAGCGUGGGGAUCAAACAGG
rnacentral:rRNA from 1 species